GAAAUGCGAUAAGUAAUGUGAAUUGCAGAAUUCAGUGAAUCAUCGAAUCUUUGAACGCACAUUGCGCCCGCCAGUACUCUGGCGGGCAUGCCUGUUCGAGCGUCAUUUCAACCCUCAAGCCCUCGCUUGGUGUUGGGGCCCUGCGGCUGCCGCAGGCCCCGAAAUGGAGUGGCGGGCUCGCGGCGACUCCGAGCGUAGUAGAAUCCUAUUCUCGCUAGGGAGUCGCGGCGCGCUCCGGCCGUUAAAGGACCCAUCUUUUAACACAAGGUUGACCUCGGAUCAGGUAGGAAUACCCGCUGAACUUAA
rnacentral:misc_RNA from 1 species